rfam:Trichobilharzia regenti genome assembly, scaffold: TRE_scaffold0041552
UUACUGAUGAAGAGUUCAAAACCGGGACGAAACAGCUGUCCAGUAU